CAGACUGAGACACCCACCCUGCAAGACAGAGCGCUACCGCAGGGAUCCAGGAUUCACACAACAUGCUUUUCUGAGCAGCUGAUCAGGGUCUUCUGUAAGGAGAUUGAUGACGAGAGUGUGGAGGCUGCCAAAAAGCACUUUAAACAGUGGUUAAGGUGCUGGUUAAGCUCUACUCUAAUUCUGCAAAACAUUGUCUCUGGAAAUAUCUACAAGUUUGUUGGUGAGAGAAAGCCAGCGGACCCCAUCGAGGAUUGGGAAAGCCGGAUUUCUGGCUGGAAAGAAGGAUUGGCUCAACCC